GACGAACGCUGGCGGCGUGCUUAACACAUGCAAGUCGAGCGGAAAGGCCCUUUCGGGGGUACUCGAGCGGCGAACGGGUGAGUAACACGUGAGUAAUCUGCCCUGGACUCUGGGAUAGCCACCGGAAACGGUGAUUAAUACCGGAUAUGACACUUUGCUGCAUGGUGGGGUGUGGAAAGUUUUUUCGGUCCAGGAUGUGCUCGCGGCCUAUCAGCUUGUUGGUGAGGUAAUGGCUCACCAAGGCUUUGACGGGUAGCCGGCCUGAGAGGGUGACCGGGCACACUGGGACUGAGACACGGCCCAGACUCCUACGGGAGGCAGCAGUGGGGAAUAUUGGACAAUGGGCGGAAGCCUGAUCCAGCAACGCCGCGUGAGGGAUGACGGCCUUCGGGUUGUAAACCUCUUUCAGUACCGACGAAGCGUGAGUGACGGUAGGUACAGAAGAAGGACCGGCCAGCUACGUGCCAGCCGCCGCCGUAAAAC
rnacentral:rRNA from 1 species